AUUGAACGCUGGCGGCAGGCUUAACACAUGCAAGUCGAGCGGAGACUUCGGUCUUAGCGGCGAACGGGUGAGUAAUACCUAGGAAUCUGCCUAUUAGUGGGGGAUAACGAAUCGAAAGGUUCGCUAAUACCGCAUACGUCCUACGGGAGAAAGAGGGGGAUCUUCGGACCUCUCGCUAAUAGAUGAGCCUAGGCCGGAUUAGCUAGUUGGUAGGGUAAAGGCCUACCAAGGCGACGAUCUGUAGCUGGUCUGAGAGGAUGGCCAGCCACACUGGAACUGAGACACGGUCCAGACUCCUACGGGAGGCAGCAGUGGGGAAUAUUGGACAAUGGGGGCAACCCUGAUCCAGCCAUGCCGCGUGUGUGAAGAAGGCCUUCGGGUUGUAAAGCACUUUAAGCGAGGAGGAAGGUUUUUAGUUUAAUACACUAAAGAAUUGACGUUACUCGCAGAAUAAGCACCGGCUAACUCUGUG
rnacentral:rRNA from 1 species